rnacentral:lncRNA from 1 species
GCCAAAAGAGGUGGAAAUGCGUCAUUGAAUCCAGCUCACCCAGGGUUGGGAAUGAAGAAGUGAAGACAGUGCUACCCUGAUCAACCGAGGGAAGAAGGAGGGUUCAGGAGGCCAAACCCUGCCCGUGGAGUUCCCCGGAACUCAUGAGGAAGAGCAGGCUAGAGAUCCCAUCAGAUCUGGAGCUGCUGGCCUACGCCACAGCCACAGCAACACCAGAUCCAAGCCGUGUCUGCGACCUACACCACAGCUCACAGCAACGCUGGAUCCUUAACCCACUGAGCGAGGCCAGGGACCGACCCCUCGUCCUCAGGGAAUGCUAGUCAGGUUCAUUACCGCUGAGCCAUGACGGGACCUCCUGCAUUUAGAUUUUUAGCGAACAUCUACUUCGCGCCUCACCUCAAGUCAGUUGCUGGGGAGAAGCAGAAAGGAGGCGUGGGCUGGGCUAGUGCGCAGGUGGACUCAGCCCACCCCUAGUGAGGCUCCCUGCCUGGACUUCUGGGAGAGGCUUGAAUGAGCCUUGAAGGAGAUACCUGACUAUCAAAGGAGGGGGCGAAACAGCAUCCCGAGCCAAGGAAAUGACAUUGUGAAAGCCUCCAAGAUGUUUGGGGUUCAUGACUCCUUGGCACAGUUAAGGCCUGGGGUCCACGGGACAGUCGGGGGAGAGAUGAAGUGAUGAGGCCGAAACCAGAGCAGCGGCUGACUGCACCUCAGGAGUCUGCGGGGGAAGGACUUUGUGGACGUGGCGAUUAUCUCAACUGUUUGUGGGGCAAUCACAGGAGCAUCUGGGGAGAAAACUGGCCCCAGAAGGAAAAGGGCUGCAGGCGGGAAGACCAGAAAGGAUGCUGUUCAGAUGGCCCAGGUGAAAGCCAGUGAGGGCCUAGACUGAGCAGACGUGGUGGGAUGGAGGGGCCCCAGGAGACAGCUCUGGAUUUGGCAGUUGCGGGGGAGGAGCUAGAACAUUGUGCUUUUACAAGAGUGGGUUAUUUAUCCAAAAACAAACAAAACAAAACAACAGCAACAACAGGGCAUUGCCGCAAGCUGUGGUGUAGGCUGCAGAUGUGGCUCGGAUCCAGCGUGGCUGUGGCUGUGCCGUAAGCCAGCAGCUGCAGCUCCGAUUCGAGCCCAGGAACUUCCAUAUGCCUCAGGUGGGGCCCUAGAAAAGGACAGAAAAAAAAAAAAA